rnacentral:tRNA from 1 species
AGCCCCGUAGUGUAGUGGCCAAUCAUCGCGCACUUUGGAUGCGUGGACGGCGGUUCGAAUCCGCCCGGGGCUA